rnacentral:rRNA from 1 species
UACGAACGCUGGCGGCGUGCUUAACACAUGCAAGUCGAACGGAAAGGCCCUGCUUUUGUGGGGUGCUCGAGUGGCGAACGGGUGAGUAACACGUGAGUAACCUGCCCUUGACUUUGGGAUAACUUCAGGAAACUGGGGCUAAUACCGGAUAGGAGCUCCUGCUGCAUCGUGGGGGUUGGAAAGUUUCGGCGGUUGGGGAUGGACUCGCGGCUUAUCAGCUUGUUGGUGGGGUAGUGGCUUACCAAGGCUUUGACGGGUAGCCGGCCUGAGAGGGUGACCGGCCACAUUGGGACUGAGAUACGGCCCAGACUCCUACGGGAGGCAGCAGUGGGGAAUAUUGCACAAUGGGCGGAAGCCUGAUGCAGCAACGCCGCGUGCGGGAUGACGGCAUUCGGGUUGUAAACCGCUUUCGCCUGUGACGAAGCGUGAGUGACGGUAAUGGGUAAAGAAGCACCGGCUAACUACGUG